rnacentral:lncRNA from 1 species
AUGAUAUUAAAGCUAAACGAAUGGCCGUCGUUCCAACAUGUUACAGUAGAAGAUACUCUAGAACUGUACAAGGUUAAAAAGGUAACAUGUAGUUUGUCCCAAGGUGUCUGCCUCCUCACCAAGAGCAAGACCUCCACCUCCUCACCCAGAGCCAGACCUCCACCUCCUGUCAGAAGUCCUCCAGAACAGGCCAGUGCUUUGAGCGAGUGGUCUUCUCAGCUCAAAGGCGAGGCUGAGAGGCUGGGGACCGGAGGCUUGUGGUGCCAGGGUGGACCGGAGACUGAGGCUGGAGACCAGGGGCCUGCAGCACCGGACCAGAGGACCAGGAAUCCAUGGCUGAAGGAGCUGAUGGAGGAGCCGUGCUGA